rnacentral:miRNA from 1 species
AAAGUGUUUGAAUUUCAAUUAGAU